CCCUGGGGCUGGGCCAAGGGUCACCCUCUGACUCUGUGGCCAAGGGUAGACAGGUCAGAGGUCGAUCCUGGGCCUACUCUGGGG
rnacentral:pre_miRNA from 7 species